AAACAAAGUACCCAUUACCAAGUACUUCUAAAACUUUCACUCAUUCUUCAAACUCAACACAACACAAAGUAGAAUAAAAUCACACUUUUAUAGGGAAGAAAGAAAGAAACACAAACUAAAAAACCAAAAAAAUGUUUGCUGAAGAAAAUGGUCUCAAAGGUGACCCUAGAUUGCAACACAUCUCUCAAUCCAUCAGAGUUGUCCCUCACUUCCCCAAAAAUGGAAUAAUGUUUCAAGACAUAACGACAUUGUUGUUGGAUCACAAGGCGUUUAAAGAUACUGUCGAUAUUUUUGUCGAUCGUUACAGAGACAUGCACAUUUCAGUUGUUGCUGGAAUUGAAGCACGAGGUUUUGUGUUUGGUUCCUCUGUUGCGUUAGGUAUUGGUGCAAAGUUUGUUCCUUUACGCAAACCUCGGAAACUGCCUGGUGAGGUAAUUUAUGAAAAAUAUUCUCUAGAAUAUGGAACUGAUUGUCUGGAAAUGCAUGUUGGCGCUGUGGAAACCGGUGAACGUGCUAUAGUUAUCGAUGAUUUGGUUGCAACAGGUGGAACUUUGUCAGCAGGAAUAAGACUUUUAGAACGUGCUGGUGCUGAAGUAGUGGAAUGUGCCUGUGUAAUUGGUGUGCCUGAGGUUAAGGGACGGUGCAAACUUCUUGGAAAACCACUUUAUGUCCUGGUGGAGCCACGUCAAGUAGAUCAAUGUUUUUGAGUGCUUUGAAGACAUUGCCAAAAACAAAAGAACCAAAUAAAGACACGUUUCUAGAUGUGAUUGAAAUACAAAAGUGAUCAAACCUUUUUGCCUGUGGAGUGGUGUCUCCUGCAAAAUAUCAUCCUGAGUUGUCCUCUUUGUAUCUUGAUCUUGUACAUGUUAGGAUAUCAUGUAUGGUUAACAAGUUCGAACAAACAUCAAGAGAUUGAUUUUUCUGGCAUUUAUUAAUAACAUCAAUUUAAGGCCUUAUUUAUAUGUUUCUAA